rnacentral:tRNA from 1 species
GGAGAGAUGCCCGAGUGGUUUAAGGGGCACGCCUGGAAAGCGUGUGUACGUCUAACCGGCGUACCGAGGGUUCGAAUCCCUCUCUCUCCG